rnacentral:tRNA from 1 species
CAUCUUCUCGGCGAGGGCGUCGGCCGCGGCGUUCAGGGCGUCGCGGUCGUCGUGCAGCUCGGCGAGGAUGCCC